AACGAACGCUGGCGGCAGGCUUAACACAUGCAAGUCGAACGCCCCUUUCGGGGGGAGUGGCAGACGGGUGAGUAACGCGUGGGAACGUGCCCUUCAGUUUGGAAUAACCCAGGGACACUUGGGCUAAUACCGGAUACGCCCUUCGGGGGAAAGAUUUAUCGCUGAAGGAUCGGCCCGCGUCGGAUUAGCUGGUUGGUGAUGUAAUGGCUCACCAAGGCGACGAUCAGUAGCUGGGCUGAGAGGAUGAUCAGCCACAUUGGGACUGAGACACGGCCCAAACUCCUACGGGAGGCAGCAGUGGGGAAUAUUGGACAAUGGGCGCAAGCCUGAUCCAGCCAUGCCGCGUGAGUGAUGACGGCCUUAGGGUUGUAAAGCUCUUUCGCACGCGACGAUAAUGACGGUAGCGUGAGAAGAAGCCCCGGCUAACUUCGUGCCAGCCGCCGCCGUAA
rnacentral:rRNA from 1 species